GUUCUCCCGUCACUCCUACUGACGCCAUCGUGAGUUCCAAACGGAUGAAUCAGCAUUUCUAUUACACGAAAAUGUAAAGAGGUCAGUGUCGACUCGUGUAGAGAUACGGUAACGUCAUGAAGAGACACUUCGUCUUUCUUCAUACACAGCUGGCAAUCGCCGAGGUGGAUUCUCGUGGCCUUGGAGGGACGACCAAUGAGCUUCUUCUUAUACUUGAACUGACAGGACAUCCUCAACUCUUAAGGCUGGGACACACCGAGCCGGCAGUCGGACGUCUGGCAAUGUCAGGUGGUUUUUAAGCGUUGGUUGGCUUUAGUUUUGUUGGUGUGUUCUGCACCGUCACCUCUCGUCAGAUGCCUCCAGCUGUUUUUUGACCGAUUUUGCUUAUCGGAGAGAAAGAGAACUCCGAUUGGCUGUUCAGUUUAGUGAAUGAGCACAUGAGAAAAAAAUAAUGGAACUGAUGAAAGCAAACCACUGUAGUAUCCACGAGUGGCCUCUCCUUGUACGUUUCUUUCCUUUUUAGACAAGAAAAACAGAUAAUGCCAGUGCAGACUGAAAUUUAGUGGCUUGCUUAUAGUUCUAACUUUUCCGGUUUCCCUGUUUGAGUGUCAACCGCCACCUGCUGGUAUGGAAAAGUAAUGUUCUCAGAGCGUCAUCGCUAUUGAUUGUUGACUGUUGUCUGUCUGGUGCGUUCAAGUGCAACUUUUUUUGCCCGUACGCAGGCGAUGCCUGGAGACGUCACGGUCAGGUUUCAGGUUGUCAGUUUGGUGUGUCCCAGUCUUCAAUCAAACAAAUCCCCGGGGAACAAAUGAAGAGUAAAGUCCUAAUGAAUACGGUAAGGAAUACCGUUUUUUGGGUCCAAAACCGUAAUUCGUUUUAAGUGAAACUACCAUCUCACUACCAACUGACCUUUAAUAAACACUACACUACAGUCUCCAGGCUCAUGGCAUCCCCAAGACAAAUAUUUUAACGAUUCAUGUAAAAUCCGGGAUUACACUAGCAUUGUUUGUUGUUUGCCUUUGGCAUCUGAUAGAGUGGUUGGACCCGAAAGUGGUUGCGUGUGACGUCAGACUUAACAAACUGUUUCCUCCACAUUUCACUUAUGCAAACCGCCAGGCAAUACGAGAGGAAAGUCAAAGUCAAAUGCCGUUUAGUUUGGCAGGGGCAGCCUUUGUUUCAUGUUGGCUAAUGGCUUUUCAUCAAGAGCUGGAUUGUAAAUGGGAGUACAGACAGUAAAGCUCAUGACAGUUGAGAUGAACAAUCUACUUUCAACCAAUAACAAAGCUAUUCAACAGCGCUCUAUAUGAAAGCAUCUUCAUCAUUUGUGGUUUUGUAACGUUGCGUUUGGCUAAACGUAAAUGUAAAAUCUUUCUUUGACUAUCGAUUUAUUUCAUUUCUGUUAGUGUCGAUGCUUAUAAUAACAGCUUCUGUAUUACAGUACACCAACAGAUUUACCCUUGAUGAAAGUUAGUUACGCGCUAAUAAAGAGCCGACUGUAAGAAAAGUGUUAAUA